rfam:Corchorus capsularis cultivar CVL-1 contig01607, whole genome shotgun sequence.
UUGAGCCGGAUGAGAGGAAACUCUCAUGUCCGGUUUUGAGGGGGGGCCAUAGGACCCGUAUCCUAAUUUUUCUUUUGCUAAUGGCCCAUCGCUAAAAAACCUACUUUCU